rnacentral:rRNA from 1 species
GCGAAUUCGCCCUUUUCCGGUUGAUCCUGCCGGAGGUCACUGCUAUUGGGAUUCGGCUAAGCCAUGCGAGUCGUGAGGGUUCGGCCCUCGGCAGACGGCUCAGUAACACGUAGAUAAUUUGCCCUUAGGUGGAGGAUACCUCGGGAAACUGAGAAUAAUACUCCAUAGAUCUAGACUGCUGGAAUGCUUUUAGAUUGAAAGAUUUAUCGCCUAAGGAUAAGUCUGCGGACUAUCAGGUAGUAGUUAGGGUAAAUACCUGACUAGCCUACGACGGAUACGGGUAGUGAGAGCUUUAGCCCGGAGAUGAUAUCUGAGACACGAUAUCAGGCCCUACGGGGCGCAGCAGGCGCGAAAACUUCGCACUGUGCGAAAGCACGACGAGGGAAUCCCAAGUGCUGGCUCGUAAGAGUCAGCUGUUUUUCUGUCUAAAGAACAGAGAGAGUAAGAGCUGGGUAAGACGGGUGCCAGCCGCCGCGGUAAUACCUGCAGCUCAAGUGGUGGCCGCUAUUAUUGGGCCUAAAACGUCCGUAGCCGGUUCUAUAAAUGCCUGGGUAAAUCGUACGGCUUAACCGUACGAAUUCCGGGUAGACUGUUCAACUUGGGACCGGGAGAGGCUAGAGGUACUCCUGGGGUAGAGGUGAAAUUCUGUAAUCCUAGGGGGACCACCAGUGGCGAAGGCGUCUAGCCAGAACGGGUCUGACGGUGAGGGACGAAGCCCUGGGGAGCAAACGGGAUUAGAUACCCCGGUAGUCCAGGGUGUAAACGCUGCUCGCUUGAUGUUAGUCGGGCUCCGAGCCCAACUAGUGUCGGAGAGAAGUUGUUAAGCGAGCUGCCUGGGGAGUACGGUCGCAAGACUGAAACUUAAAGGAAUUGGCGGGAAGGGCGAAUUCGU